rnacentral:rRNA from 1 species
GAUGAACGCUGGCGGCGUGCCUAAUACAUGCAAGUCGAGCGAAUGGAUUGAGAGCUUGCUCUUAUGAAGUUAGCGGCGGACGGGUGAGUAACACGUGGGUAACCUGCCCAUAAGACUGGGAUAACUCCGGGAAACCGGGGCUAAUACCGGAUAACAUUUUGAACCGCAUGGUUCGAAAUUGAAAGGCGGCUUCGACUGUCACUUAUGGAUGGACCCGCGUCGCAUUAGCUAGUUGGGGAGGUAACGGCUCACCAAGGCAACGAUGCGUAGCCGACCUGAGAGGGUGAUCGGCCACACUGGGACUGAGACACGGCCCAGACUCCUACGGGAGGCAGCAGUAGGGAAUCUUCCGCAAUGGACGAAAAUCUGACGGAGCAACGCCGCGUGAGUGAUGAAGGCUUUCGGGUCGUAAAACUCUGUUGUUAGGGAAGAACAAGUGCUAGUUGAAUAAGCUGGCACCUUGACGGUACCUAACCAGAAAGCCACGGCUAACUACGUGCCAGCCGCCGCGGUAA